AUAAUUUCCCCUUCCUUCCCCCAAUUCUCCACUUCUUCUCUCUGCCGCGAGACAGAUGUUUCUGCUCUAUGAUACAGAGAAAGGAAAUUUUAACUGCGCUAGCAAUCCUAUUCUUCGCGUCUAACCUCUGCCAAGCAUUGUAUGGACCAUCAUCUCCUGUAGUCCAGCUAAAUCCCUCCAACUUUGAGUCCAAGAUUAAUUAAGGGUUAAGGUCUCUAAUGGACAAGGUAGUGGAGGCGGUGGAGAAGGUGAAGAAGGAAUGGGACGAAGCAUACGCUAAAACGCGAGAACAUAUUAAGGCAAUUGAGGAAUAUGGCAAAUCAAGACGAGGAGAAGUAGCAACUACCCAGGAGAAGAAUUCUCUUCCCAGAUUGAAUGGUUUGGCACAAGAUGGUCUCGCUUUGCUCCAAUCUUUGCAAUUUAAGCUUGAUCUUCUUGCCCCUCAAUUGCCUACUGAUGAUAAAGUGAAAUCAGCACAAGCCUUGCUAGAAUCAUGGAAGAACCAAUGCCAAAAGUACAAAAUUCUUACCUUACAUUGCUAAUUUUCUAUUUUAUUUAUUCUUCCCCUUUUUUUUCUGAAUCUCAUCUGUAAACUAGUAUGCGGUUGAGUUUAAGAAAUGCUAAUUUGCAAGCGAAGGCAAACAUGAGGAAAGCUGCUCAGGAAGAGGUAAAAGGACUUGAUUUUGCCUUAAUUAGUGUGUUUGAUGACCCGUCAACUGGUUUAAUUAAUGUUUUAAUUUGUUCUUCAUUGUUGUGUCUUGGGUGCAUUAUAAAAUGUAUGAAAAUUAAGUGAGGAAUGACUUUAUAAUGGUUGUUUUUACUGUAGAGAGAACUUCUAUUGGGUGGUGGAGAAGAGUCCACAAUUCGCAGACGCAAUUUGCAGUAUGUAUUUUCUUCAUUGCUUUCAAUGAGAUUAAUGUAACAUUUUAUGUAGACGUCCAAUGUUUUCUAGUUAUUAUGUAAUGUUUAUGCCCGUGGUUGAAGCUCAAGAAGUAAACAGGUGGAUGAGUUGAGGUUGGUUUAAGUUUUUGGUUCAGAGUGUGCCAAUAAUUUAUGCAAAAAAUUUUAAAUGAAAAGAUACCAUGCAGUAUUUUUAAUUUGGGAAAGUUUUUCAAAUAUGCCAAAGACAUAAGAUAUUGCCCUACUGUUUAUGUUGUUUUAUCAUAUAUGAUGUACGAUUUUAAUGUCUUUUAGAACAAAGGCUGGGAUGACAUCUGCUGCAGAAAGCAUCACUGAAAGCCUUCGGCGUACUCGUCAGCUAAUGGUUCAGGAGGUUGAAAGAAGUGCUAGCACUCUCAUGACUUUUGAGGAAUCAACGGGGGUAUUAAGGAAGGCUGAAAGUGAAUAUAAGGGCCAUCGCUCAUUGUUGAUGCGGACCCGAAAUCUUCUUUCCACAAUGCAACGUCAGGAUGUUCUUGACAGAGUGAUACUUGCUGUAGGAUUUUUCUUGUUCUCUUGUGCUGUUCUUUAUGUGGUUUCAAAGCGCAUCGGGCUGCUUAAGUUGCAGAGAACUGUCACUGCUGCCAUAAAGGCUGGUAUGGAUCGACGAGGUGAAAUCAGACCAAGAGGUGUUGAAGAUGGGGUGGACAUUGCUCAGGUUUAUGAAAAUGUCGUUCGCAAGGGUGAGGUACCAUUGGAUCAGCCUAUGCAUGACGAACUUUAAGAUUGUAGUUUUCCUUCUUAGAAAAGAAGGAUUGUGUUCUCUGCUACGGGCUUCUAUUUUUCUCUGCUAGAGCAGUAGGCUCUAAUAUUUUGCAUUUUUUUGUCUCUUAUUAUCUUUUAGAUUAAUUUGAUCAGAUGAUGUGAUCUAUAAAUAUUGAUUCAACAAUGAGAUUGGCUCAUGAAACUAUAUUAUCGAACUAAAAUAGGCAUGAAGCAGGCUGUGGAGAAAUCUACACCAGCGAUUAUAAGUUCAUGCAACUAAAAGGACGUAUGAGAGUAUUUAUUUCAGAGUUGUAUAGGAGUGUUUUGUAAUCAUCCUCUUAAACAUGAUUUUCUCUGCAAAUAAAACAUGAUGUAAAGGUUAAAACUUUUGAAUGAACAAAAUCAACUAUAUUCG
rnacentral:misc_RNA from 1 species